AGAGUUUGAUCCUGGCUCAGAUUGAACGCUGGCGGCAUGCUUUACACAUGCAAGUCGAACGGUAACAGGGAGCUUGCUCCGCUGACGAGUGGCGAACGGGUGAGUAAUAUAUCGGAACGUACCCAAGAGUGGGGGAUAACGUAGCGAAAGUUACGCUAAUACCGCAUACGAUCUAAGGAUGAAAGCAGGGGACCGCAAGGCCUUGUGCUCCUGGAGCGGCCGAUAUCUGAUUAGCUAGUUGGUAGGGUAAAGGCCUACCAAGGCAUCGAUCAGUAGCUGGUCUGAGAGGACGACCAGCCACACUGGAACUGAGACACGGUCCAGACUCCUACGGGAGGCAGCAGUGGGGAAUUUUGGACAAUGGGCGCAAGCCUGAUCCAGCAAUGCCGCGUGAGUGAAGAAGGCCUUCGGGUUGUAAAGCUCUUUUGUCAGGGAAGAAACGGGUGAGGCUAAUAUCCUCAUCUAAUGACGGUACCUGAAGAAUAAGCACCGGCUAACUACGUGCCAGCAGCCGCGGUAAUACGUAGGGUGCAAGCGUUAAUCGGAAUUACUGGGCGUAAAGCGUGCGCAGGCGGUUUUGUAAGUUUGCCGUGAAAUCCCCGGGCUCAACCUGGGAAUGGCGAUGAAGACUGCAAGGCUAGAGUUUGGCAGAGGGGGGUAGAAUUCCACGUAGCAGUGAAAUGCGUAGAGAUGUGGAGGAACACCGAUGGCGAAGGCAGCCCCCUGGGUCAAAACUGACGCUCAUGCACGAAAGCGUGGGGAGCAAACAGGAUUAGAUACCCUAGUAGUCC
rnacentral:rRNA from 1 species